rnacentral:rRNA from 1 species
UACGGAGGGUGCGAGCGUUGUCCGGAAUCACUGGGCGUAAAGGGCGCGUAGGCGGUCUGCUAAGCGUGUGGUGAAAGCUCGGGGCUCAACCCCGAGUCUGCCAUGCGAACUGGUGGACUAGAGCACUGUAGAGGCGAGUGGAAUUCCGGGUGUAGCGGUGGAAUGCGUAGAGAUCCGGAAGAACACCGGUGGCGAAGGCGGCUCGCUGGGCAGUAGCUGACGCUGAUGCGCGACAGCGUGGGGAG